UACGUAGGGUGCAAGCGUUAAUCGGAAUUACUGGGCGUAAAGCGUGCGCAGGCGGUUUUGUAAGUCUGACGUGAAAUCCCCCGGGCUCAACCUGGGAAUUGCGUUGGAGACUGCAAGGCUGGAGUCUGGCAGAGGGGGGGUAGAAUUCCACGUGUAGCAGUGAAAUGCGUAGAGAUGUGGAGGAACACCGAUGGCGAAGGCAGCCCCCCUGGGUCAAGACUGACGCUCAUGCACGAA
rnacentral:rRNA from 1 species